rnacentral:rRNA from 1 species
CAUGCAAGUCGAACGAGAAAGGGAAUUCGGUCCUGAGUAAAGUGGCGCACGGGUGAGUAACACGUAGGUAACCUGCCUCUAAGUUGGGACAACUUGUCGAAAGAUAAGCUAAUACUGAAUAAGACCACAGUUUCCUCGGAAGCAGGGGUCAAAGGUAGCCUCUAUUUAUAAGCUAUCACUUAGAGAUGGGCCUGCGUACCAUUAGCUAGUUGGUGAGGUAACGGCUCACCAAGGCAAAGAUGGUUAGCUGGUCUGAGAGGAUGAUCAGCCACACUGGAACUGAGAAUACGGUCCAGACUCCUACGGGAGGCAAGCAGUGGGGAAUAUUGCGCAAAUGGGGCGAAAAGGCCUUGACGC